AUUGAACGCUGGCGGAAUGCUUUACACAUGCAAGUCGAACGGCAGCACGGGGGCAACCCUGGUGGCGAGUGGCGAACGGGUGAGUAAUACAUCGGAACGUGCCCAGUCGUGGGGGAUAACGUAGCGAAAGUUACGCUAAUACCGCAUACGAUCUACGGAUGAAAGCGGGGGACCGUAAGGCCUCGCGCGAUUGGAGCGGCCGAUGUCAGAUUAGGUAGUUGGUGAGGUAAAGGCUCACCAAGCCGACGAUCUGUAGCUGGUCUGAGAGGACGAGCAGCCACAUUGGGACUGAGACACGUCCCAGACUCCUACGGGAGGCAGCAGUGGGGAAUUUUGGAAAAUGGGCGCAAGCCUGAUCCAGCCAUUCCGCGUGCAGGACGAAGGCCUUCGGGUUGUAAACUGCUUUUGUACUGAACGAAAAGGCUCUGGUUAAUACCUGGGGCUCAUGACGGUACCGUAAGAAUAAGCACCGGCUAACUACGUGCCAGCCGCCGCGGUAA
rnacentral:rRNA from 1 species